UGAGGAAUCUUCCACAAUGGGCGAAAGCCUGAUGGAGCAACGCCGCGUGAAGGAUGAAGGCCCUCGGGUUGUAAACUUCUUUUAUAAGUGAAGAAUAUGACGGUAACUUAUGAAUAAGCACCGGCUAACUACGUGCCAGCAGCCGCGGUCAUACGUAGGGUGCAAGCAUUAUCCGGAGUGACUGGGCGUAAAGAGUUGCGUAGGUGGUUUGUUAAGUGAAUAGUGAAAUCUGGGGGCUCAACCAUACAGACUAUUAUUCAAACUGGCAGACUCGAGAAUGGUAGAGGUAACUGGAAUUUCUUGUGUAGGAGUGAAAUCCGUAGAUAUAAGAAGGAACACCAAUGGCGUAGGCAGGUUACUGGACCAUUUCUGACACUGAGGCACGAAAGCGUGGGGAGCGAACC
rnacentral:rRNA from 1 species